rnacentral:rRNA from 1 species
GACGAGGGGUCCAAGCGUUGUUCGGAAUCAUUGGGCGUAAAGAGUGCGUAGGUGGUGCCCUAAGUCUGUUGUGAAAUCUCCCGGCUUAACUGGGAGGGUGCGGUGGAAACUGGGGUGCUUGAGUGUGGGAGAGGUAAGCGGAAUUCCUGGUGUAGCGGUGAAAUGCGUAGAUAUCAGGAGGAACACCGGUGGUGUAGACGGCUUACUGGACCACGACUGACACUGAGGCACGAAAGCGUGGGUAGCAAACAGG